UCUCUCUCUCUCUUAUUAUAUAUAUAGAUCAAAGCAGAGGACAGUUUCAGCUCAACCUCACAAGCAGGGCAGCUUAUCUAUAGUUAGCCAUCCUUCAGAGAAGUCCUACUUAAUUAGACUUCAUUGAUGAAAACUGAUUCUUGGGUUCGGACUAUUACUUCUCCUUUCAGGAAAGCAUGCACCAUCCUCAAGCCUACCAGAGAGAAGAAGCCUCAAACUGGUCAUGAUCAUGAUAGUAUGACACUCCACUGUGAAGUCAUGGCAUGUGGCUAUGAGGAUGUGCAGGUAAUGUGGUCGAUCCUCGACAAGGCGAAGUCGAUUGAGAGAACCACCAAUAAAUCAUGAAGAAGAUUUGAUGUAUGUUGUAAGAUUUUGAUAGUUUUAGUUGUCAAAUCUGUGAUAUAGUAUGUGGUUAUGAUUUCAUAGAAAGAUAGGAGUCUCUUCUUUUCUAGAUUUUCUUUUAAGAUGAGAAGGUAUCCACAUGGGCAUAUUUGAUUAGAUGUCCAUGAUGAGAUUUCAGUUUGAGUGGAGUAGGUUCUUCUCUUAUCUCAUGCAUUGUACUUGUUGAUGUAGAGAGGAAAAGCUUUUAAGUAAACCCAUUUCUCUUUACUUCAUCUGAAAACAUGUAGUUCAUAAGUAGUUUCGGGCUGUAAAAUUCUUCUGAA